UGGGGAAUAUUGCACAAUGGGGGGAACCCUGAUGCAGCCAUGCCGCGUGAAUGAAGAAGGCCUUCGGGUUGUAAAGUUCUUUCGGUGACGAGGAAGGCGAUUGUUUUAAUAGAACAGUCGAUUGACGUUAAUCACAGAAGAAGCACCGGCUAACUCCGUGCCAGCAGCCGCGGUAAUACGGGGGGUGCGAGCGUUAAUCGGAAUAACUGGGCGUAAAGGGCACGCAGGCGGUUGUUUAAGUGAGGUGUGAAAGCCCCGGGCUUAACCUGGGAAUUGCAUUUCAGACUGGACAACUAGAGUACUUUAGGGAGGGGUAGAAUUCCACGUGUAGCGGUGAAAUGCGUAGAGAUGUGGAGGAAUACCGAAGGCGAAGGCAGCCCCUUGGGAAUGUACUGACGCUCAUGUGCGAAAGCGUGGGGAGCAAACAGGAUUAGAUACCCUGGUAGUCCACGCCGUAAACGCUGUCGAUUUGGGGAUUGGGGUUUAACUCUGGUGCCCGUAGCUAACGUGAUAAAUCGACCGCCUGGGGAGUACGGCCGCAAGGUUAAAACUCAAAUGAAUUGACGGGGGCCCGCACAAGCGGUGGAGCAUGUGGUUUAAUUCGAUGC
rnacentral:rRNA from 1 species